UAGCGCACAUCAUACGACGUACCACUUCCUCUGUGAGCCUUGAGUGAGCCCUGGUAGAAGAUACAAAGGCACUUCCUAUUUGAAAGGAUAUAUCUACGACUCAGAAUGACUGACGCGAGUUCCAUGAGUUCUUUGAGUGGAGUAGAGUCGGCGAGCGAGAUGUCGGAAAGCACGGUCGGAGCUGCAGGAGCAGGUAACAUGUUCUGUUCUGAAUUCAUAUUGUCUAACAGAUCAUGCGCAUCCUUUCUUUU